AAUGAACGUUGGCGGCGUGGAUUAGGCAUGCAAGUCGCACGAGAAAUCUUAAUUUGAAGCUUCGGUUGAUUAUUUAGAUGGAAAGUGGCGAAAGGGAGAGUAACGCGUGGACAACUUACCCCUGGGUCUGGGAUAGCUGUGGGAAACUGCAGGUAAUACCGGAUAACGUCUCCGGACCAAAGGUGUGAUUCCGCCUGGGGAUGGGUCCGCGUCCUAUUAGCUUGUUGGUGGGGUAACGGCCUACCAAGGCAAAGAUGGGUAGCGGGUGUGAGAGCAUGACCCGUCUCACUGGGACUGAGACACUGCCCAGACACCUACGGGUGGCUGCAGUCGAGAAUCUUCCGCAAUGGACGCAAGUCUGACGGAGCGACGCCGCGUGCGGGAUGAAGGCCCUCGGGUUGUAAACCGCUGUCAGUUGGGAGGAAAUGCUAUGGGGUACUCUCCAUAGUUUGACCGAUCUUCAGAGGAAGUCCGGGCUAAGUUCGUG
rnacentral:rRNA from 1 species